rnacentral:tRNA from 1 species
CCCUGUAGCUCUGUUUGUAGAGCAUGGUGUUUGCAACGCCAGGGUUGUGGGUUCGAUUCCCACAGGGG